GCACUCAAUUUCUUCAAAUUCUCAAAAGAAGUCCCGCACCACAAGGAACAUUCCACUUAUGUGCAUUACCUGUCAUGGUGGAAGGUGAAAUUGGAGAGAGAGAUCUUCGAAGACGUGAACUUGUCUUUGCAGAUGUGUACCUUCGAACUGGUCGGUUUGCWCAAUACAACAGGUCCCUGCAGAUUCGUGGAUUCAACCAUUCCCCUAAGGGUAUUGAGAACAUUAUCAGUCAUGUCAACUUGGUAUUUCUGAUUGAUAAUAAAUUCAAGAGUUUGCUAUCUGGUUUAAGUGCCUCUGUUCUCAAUGAGUUAAAGGGAUGUUGGAUUGAAAGAUGUGACAAUAUGAUCAGCAUUUUUGAUGAAAAGGAAAGAGAACUGGGCAUUGCUAUGGAGAAUUUGGGAGUUUCAAAUAAUCGCCGUUUAGUAAGUAUAUAUAAUGGGAAACAGCUGUUUGGGAGCUUCAACAAUCUGAAGACUUUGUAUCUAGACAGUUGUCCAGAGGUUUCAACUGUGUUUCCAUCAUCAUGGCUGCCGAAGACCCUCAAAGUUCUUCAAAUCAAACACUGUGACAAGAUAGUAUCGUUAUCUGAAGUUGACAGUGAACUUGAACUUCCAUUUUUAGAAACUUUGCAUCUAUGGGAACUAYCAGAACUGAAGACCAUCGGCAUCUCAUUUCCAUCUUUACAAACUCUYAAAAUUUGUGCAUGCCCCAAAGUGAAGCAAAUUGAGGAGAACUUUGAAUUUGCCAAGGAGUUGAGGACGUUAUGGAUCUCUGGUGCAACUCGUUUGAAGAGCUUAUAUAGCGGAAAUCAGGAGAGUCACAUUUUCAUCAAUCUUGAAACUCUURCUUUGGAAAGUUGCCCGAUGCUUGAAAAUGUUCUGUCUUCAUGUUUGCCACUAGAGAACGUCAAGACCAUCAAGAUUAGGUCUUGUGAGAAGUUGCAGACUCUGUUUGCACACAGCAAUUCAGUUGGCUACGAAUUGCCAUGUUUAAACACACUGCAUCUAGAGGAUCUUCCGAUGCUGAAAAGCAUAGGCGUCAAUUUGCCAUCACUAGGAGAGAGAUGUAUUUUUGAAUGCCCAAAUUUGAAAUUUGACGGGACGAUUGGUGAUCAUAACUGACUCAACAUAUGUGCUUCGAUGGCUUCAGGUGUUUAGCAUGGUAACUGCUUUGGUCCAAAAAGAAAUUAUAGAUCCGAUUUUUGAUCCACGUAGUUCACAUGAGAAGAAAUGAAGAUGGGAUCCACAGGGCAAUGGAUGAAUGGAGGAAAGCUGAAGAGCUUUCUUGCACGUCAAAAAGCAGCUGAAUGAAAAGGAAGAACAGGCCAAAGAGGAUCAGAGGUAUUACAAGGUACAAUUGAUUGUGGAUGAUUCAGUUUACGUACAUUUCUUUAGUUUAAAGCUUUUGGUUUUAAUUAUGUUUUUAGUUUCAUAAAGAAAAAUGGUGAGAAUCUUGUUUCUGGAGUUGUUAGUCUUUAUCAACUUUUCUUAAACCUCAUUGAAUCAAGGAAGCCUUUGGUGGAGUAUGCUGUAUGAGUAUGCUGUAUGCAGGUCAAAUUUCUUUCUUUAUUUUUCCAGACUAUGAGGAUGAUUUGGG